rnacentral:lncRNA from 1 species
UUGCCUAGCCCUCUUAGGACCCUGGUGAUUUCUGCCAUUGAUUACAUCUCCUUUAACUUCAAAGUGCUCCUCAUCCAGUAUCCUGCCUUCUUUAAAAGAUUGAAUUAUCCACUGGUAACUAACUACCCAUUUUCUUCCUGCGAUACCCAGAAAGUACUUCAAUGUCCGUUCACAUACCAGCUCCUCAUCUGUUUUCAUUAUGACAUGGGUUGUUCCAUCAGUAAUGUGAUUAGAGAAAGUGCUCUGAGUUUUUCUGGCAAACUUCUGGACCAUCAAAUGUUCACUUUGGUUCAGACCGGAUGCCACAAUUGACAUUUCCGUCCUACAAGUUGUACCUGAACUUGCAGCAUUUUCUUUCCCAGCUACGUUGUGCAGUACAGAUGUAGGAAAACAUACACUUCUCUUUGAUUUACAUACUUGAACAUUGCUUUUGUU